rnacentral:rRNA from 1 species
UACAGAGGGUGCGAGCGUUGUCCGGAAUCACUGGGCGUAAAGGGCGCGUAGGCGGCCUGAUAAGUAGGGGGGUGAAAUCCUGUGGCUUAACUGCAGGGCUGCCUCCUAGACUGUUAGGCUCGAGCACGGUAGAGGCAGAUGGAAUUCCCGGUGUAGCGGUGGAAUGCGUAGAGAUCGGGAAGAACAUCGGUGGCGAAGGCGGCCUGCU